GUCAUUGAAGAACAAUAGCCAGCAGGCAAGAGGGAGUCUGUGAUGGAUGAUGACGGUACACAGUAUGUAUAGUUUCUUACUCUUCCUUCCCGGCUUCAUUCUGAGCUACAGGAAGUCUGUUCCGUGACGAUUUGUGUACUAGGAUGUAUCCACUAGAGUACAGGCUCUACCAAGACGCUGGACACUAAAUGACUGAUAAAGAGGAAAGGCAGGAUGACAGAAGGGAGUACGAAAGAACGGGAGAAGGGACCAAACAGCAAAGGCGUAGAGUAGGAUAAUAAAUACAUGAAGAUUUCUGUCUUCGCAUUGUGUGGAAUGUGAAACUUCAUUAUUGUGUUUGCAAGAUCCUACUAUUGGAGCCUGUCAUGAGCCACUUUAGUAUUAUCUUUUCAUGUACGUCGAGGUCUCUCAAGUAUUAAAACUACGAUUUAUUUUA